GACGAAGGGGGCUAGCGUUGUUCGGAAUUACUGGGCGUAAAGCGCACGUAGGCGGAUAUUUAAGUCAGGGGUGAAAUCCCAGAGCUCAACUCUGGAACUGCCUUUGAUACUGGGUAUCUUGAGUAUGGAAGAGGUAAGUGGAAUUGCGAGUGUAGUAGGUGAAAUUCGAUAGAUAUUCGCAGGAACACCAGUGGCGAAGGCGG
rnacentral:rRNA from 1 species